rnacentral:rRNA from 1 species
UACAGAGGUCUCAAGCGUUGUCCGGAAUUAUUGGGCGUAAAGAGCUCGUAGGCGGUUUGUCGCGUCUGCUGUGAAAUCCCGAGGCUCAACCUCGGGCCUGCAGUGGGUACGGGCAGACUGGAGUGCGGUAGGGGAGAAUGGAAUUCCUGGUGUAGCGGUGGAAUGCGCAGAUAUCAGGAGGAACACCGAUGGCGAAGGCAGUUCUCUGGGCCGUAACUGACGCUGAGGAGCGAAAGCGUGGGGAGCGAACAGG